UUAAGCGACUAAGCGUACACGGUGGAUGCCCUGGCAGUCAGAGGCGAUGAAGGACGUGCUAAUCUGCGAAAAGCGUCGGUAAGGUGAUAUGAACCGUUAUAACCGGCGAUGUCCGAAUGGGGAAACCCAGUGUGAUUCGUCACACUAUCGUUAACUGAAUACAUAGGUUAACGAGGCGAACCGGGGGAACUGAAACAUCUAAGUACCCCGAGGAAAAGAAAUCAACCGAGAUUCCCCCAGUAGCGGCGAGCGAACGGGGAGCAGCCCAGAGUCUGAAUCAGCUUGUGUGUUAGUGGAACGGUCUGGAAAGUCCGACGGUACAGGGUGAUAGUCCCGUACACCAAAAUGCACAGGCUGUGAACUCGAAGAGUAGGGCGGGACACGUGGUAUCCUGUCUGAAUAUGGGGGGACCAUCCUCCAAGGCUAAAUACUCCUGACUGACCGAUAGUGAACCAGUACCGUGAGGGAAAGGCGAAAAGAACCCCGGCGAGGGGAGUGAAAAAGAACCUGAAACCGUGUACGUACAAGCAGUGGGAGCACCUUCGGGUGUGACUGCGUACCUUUUGUAUAAUGGGUCAGCGACUUAUAUUCUGUAGCAAGGUUAACCGUAUAGGGGAGCCGCAGGGAAACCGAGUCUUAACUGGGCGUUAAGUUGCAGGGUAUAGACCCGAAACCCGGUGAUCUAGCCAUGGGCAGGUUGAAGGUUGGGUAACACUAACUGGAGGACCGAACCGACUAAUGUUGAAAAAUUAGCGGAUGACUUGUGGCUGGGGGUGAAAGGCCAAUCAAACCGGGAGAUAGCUGGUUCUCCCCGAAAGCUAUUUAGGUAGCGCCUCGUGAAUUCAUCUUCGGGGGUAGAGCACUGUUUCGGCUAGGGGGUCAUCCCGACUUACCAACCCGAUGCAAACUACGAAUACCGAAGAAUGUUAUCACGGGAGACACACGGCGGGUGCUAACGUCCGUCGUGAAGAGGGAAACAACCCAGACCGCCAGCUAAGGUCCCAAAGUCAUGGUUAAGUGGGAAACGAUGUGGGAAGGCACAGACAGCCAGGAUGUUGGCUUAGAAGCAGCCAUCAUUUAAAGAAAGCGUAAUAGCUCACUGGUCGAGUCGGCCUGCGCGGAAGAUGUAACGGGGCUAAACCAUGCACCGAAGCUGCGGCAGCGACACUAUGUGUUGUUGGGUAGGGGAGCGUUCUGUAAGCCUGCGAAGGUGUGCUGUGAGGCAUGCUGGAGGUAUCAGAAGUGCGAAUGCUGACAUAAGUAACGAUAAAGCGGGUGAAAAGCCCGCUCGCCGGAAGACCAAGGGUUCCUGUCCAACGUUAAUCGGGGCAGGGUGAGUCGACCCCUAAGGCGAGGCCGAAAGGCGUAGUCGAUGGGAAACAGGUUAAUAUUCCUGUACUUGGUGUUACUGCGAAGGGGGGACGGAGAAGGCUAUGUUAGCCGGGCGACGGUUGUCCCGGUUUAAGCAUGUAGGCUGGUUGUCCAGGCAAAUCCGGAUAAUCAAGGCUGAGGUGUGAUGACGAGGCACUACGGUGCUGAAGUAACAAAUGCCCUGCUUCCAGGAAAAGCCUCUAAGCAUCAGGUAACAUUAAAUCGUACCCCAAACCGACACAGGUGGUCAGGUAGAGAAUACCAAGGCGCUUGAGAGAACUCGGGUGAAGGAACUAGGCAAAAUGGUGCCGUAACUUCGGGAGAAGGCACGCUGGUGUGUAGGUGAAGCCCCUGCGGGUGGAGCUGAGACCAGUCGAAGAUACCAGCUGGCUGCAACUGUUUAUUAAAAACACAGCACUGUGCAAACACGAAAGUGGACGUAUACGGUGUGACGCCUGCCCGGUGCCGGAAGGUUAAUUGAUGGGGUUAUCCGUAAGGAGAAGCUCUUGAUCGAAGCCCCGGUAAACGGCGGCCGUAACUAUAACGGUCCUAAGGUAGCGAAAUUCCUUGUCGGGUAAGUUCCGACCUGCACGAAUGGCGUAAUGAUGGCCAGGCUGUCUCCACCCGAGACUCAGUGAAAUUGAACUCGCUGUGAAGAUGCAGUGUACCCGCGGCAAGACGGAAAGACCCCGUGAACCUUUACUAUAGCUUGACACUGAACAUUGAGCCUUGAUGUGUAGGAUAGGUGGGAGGCUUUGAAGCGUGGACGCCAGUCUGCGUGGAGCCAACCUUGAAAUACCACCCUUUAAUGUUUGAUGUUCUAACGUUGGCCCCUUACCGGGGUUGCGGACAGUGUCUGGUGGGUAGUUUGACUGGGGCGGUCUCCUCCCAAAGCGUAACGGAGGAGCACGAAGGUUAGCUAAUCCUGGUCGGACAUCAGGAGGUUAGUGCAAUGGCAUAAGCUAGCUUGACUGCGAGCGUGACGGCGCGAGCAGGUGCGAAAGCAGGUCAUAGUGAUCCGGUGGUUCUGAAUGGAAGGGCCAUCGCUCAACGGAUAAAAGGUACUCCGGGGAUAACAGGCUGAUACCGCCCAAGAGUUCAUAUCGACGGCGGUGUUUGGCACCUCGAUGUCGGCUCAUCACAUCCUGGGGCUGAAGUAGGUCCCAAGGGUAUGGCUGUUCGCCAUUUAAAGUGGUACGCGAGCUGGGUUUAGAACGUCGUGAGACAGUUCGGUCCCUAUCUGCCGUGGGCGCUGGAGAAUUGAGGGGGGCUGCUCCUAGUACGAGAGGACCGGAGUGGACGCAUCACUGGUGUUCGGGUUGUCAUGCCAAUGGCACUGCCCGGUAGCUAAAUGCGGAAGAGAUAAGUGCUGAAAGCAUCUAAGCACGAAACUUGCCCCGAGAUGAGUUCUCCCUGAGACUUUAAGUCUCCUGAAGGAACGUUAAAGACGAUGACGUUGAUAGGCCGGGUGUGUAAGCGCAGCGAUGCGUUGAGCUAACCGGUACUAAUGAACCGUGAGGCUUAACCUU
rnacentral:rRNA from 1 species